rnacentral:rRNA from 1 species
UACGAGGGGGGCAAGCGUUGUUCGGAAUUACUGGGCGUAAAGGGUGCGUAGGCGGUGCUCUAAGUCGGAUGUGAAAACUCUGGGCUCAACCCAGAGCCUGCAUCCGAAACUGGAGUGCUAGAGUUCUGGAGGGGGUAGCGGAAUUCCUGGUGUAGCGGUGAAAUGCGUAGAUAUCAGGAGGAACACCGGUGGCGAAGGCGGCUCACUGGCCCGAUACUGACGCUGAGGCACGAAAGCGUGGGGAGCAAACAGG